rnacentral:lncRNA from 1 species
CUGGAGGCAGGCAAAUAGCACCACUCACAACAGAACAGGCACCAAGAAGGGAGCGUGGGGAGCAGGAGAGGGUGGACUCCUGUGCGCCCUCACUCUCCAGGCUCCAUGAGGGGUCCUGGAUCUGCAAGAUGUGACUGGCUCAGACGUCGAAGUCCAGAGCCACAUCUGCCGCCAGACAGAGCCAGGGAUGGGGCAACCAUCAAAGCGGAUCUUCCAGCCAUCAAGGAGGGGCCACAACCACGCCGUUAGCCUCUGGGGCCUCGGUCAACACGCCUUUCAUCAACCUUCCCGCCCUGUGGAGGAGCGUCGCCAACAUCAUGCCCUAAACUGGCAUCCGGCCUUGCUGGGAGAAUAAUGUCGCCGUUGUCACAUCAGCUGACAUGACCUGGAG